AACGUAGGAGGCAAGCGUUAUCCGGAGUUACUGGGCGUAAAGCGCGUGUAGGUGGAUUGGUAAGUUACUUAUAAAAGCUCCUGGCUAAACUAGGAGAGGUUGAGUGAUACUGCCAGUCUUGAAUAGAGGAGAGGUUGACGGAAUUCCGGGUGUAGUGGUGAAAUGCGUAGAGAUCCGGAGGAACACCAGAGGCGAAGGCGGCAACCUGGCACGUAACUGACGCUCAUACACGACAGCAUGGGGAGCGAACGGG
rnacentral:rRNA from 1 species